UACGUAGGCAGCGAGCGUUGUUCGGAGUUACUGGGCGUAAAGGGUGUGUAGGCGGUUCGGUAAGUCUGGUGUGAAAUCUCCCGGCUCAACUGGGAGGGUGCGCCGGAAACUGCCAAACUAGAGUGCGGGAGAGGAAAGUGGAAUUCCUGGUGUAGCGGUGAAAUGCGUAGAUAUCAGGAGGAACACCGGUGGUGUAGACGGCUUUCUGGACCGUAACUGACGCUGAAACACGAAAGCGUGGGUAGCAAACAGG
rnacentral:rRNA from 1 species